rnacentral:rRNA from 1 species
UGACCAACCUGCCCCUAACUCUGGGAUAACCCCGGGAAACCGGAGCUAAUACCGGAUACGAGACCGAGUGGCAUCACACGGUCUGGAAAGUUUUUCGGUUAGGGAUGGGGUCGCGGCCUAUCAGCUUGUUGGUGGGGUAAUGGCCCACCAAGGCGACGACGGGUAGCCGGCCUGAGAGGGGUGACCGGGCCACACUGGGACUGAGACACGGCCCAGACUCCUACGGGAGGCA